rnacentral:tRNA from 1 species
UCCCUGGAGGACUAGUGGUUAGGCCUCGGCGCGCUCACCAGUGCGGUCUGGGUUCGAUUCCGGCCAGGGAA